AUAGCGUAUAUUAAAGUUGUUGCAGUUAAAAAGCUCGUAGUUGAAUUUUAGGCCUGGUUGGACGGUCUGCUCUAGGGUUUGUACUGUCCUGACUGGGUCUUACCUUCUGGUGAGCUGUCGUAUUGUUUACUCAGUGCGGCAGGGAACCAGGACUUUUACUUUGAAAAAAUUAGAGUGUUUAAAGCAGGCAUUCGCUUGAAUACAUUAGCAUGGAAUAAUAGAAUAGGACUUUGGUUCUAUUUUGUUGGUUUCUAGGACCGAAGUAAUGAUUAAUAGGGAUAGUUGGGGGCAUUAGUAUUCAAUUGUCAGAGGUGAAAUUCUUGGAUUUAUUGAAGACGAACUACUG
rnacentral:rRNA from 1 species